UACGAGGGGGGCAAGCGUUGUUCGGAAUUAUUGGGCGUAAAGGGUGCGUAGGCGGUCUGACAAGUCUGAUGUGAAAUCUAUGGGCUCAACCCAUAGCCUGCAUCGGAAACUGUCGGGCUUGAGUAUGGGAGAGGUGAGUGGAAUUUCCGGUGUAGCAGUGAAAUGCGUAGAGAUCGUAAGGAAGGCCAGUGGCGAAGGCGAGUUCCUGGACAGUUACUGACGCUGAGGCACGAAGGCCAGGGGAGCAAACGGG
rnacentral:rRNA from 1 species